CUACGGGUUGCUGCAGUGAGGAAUAUUGCACAGUGGGGGGAACCCUGAUGCAGCAACGCCGCGUGGAGGAUGACGCAUUUCGGUGUGUAAACUCCUUUUAUCAGAGAAGAACAUGACGGUAUCUGAUGAAUAAGCUCCGGCUAACUCCGUGCCAGCAGCCGCGGUAAUACGGAGGGAGCAAGCGUUAUUCGGAAUCACUGGGCGUAAAGGACGCGUAGGCGGGACAGUAAGUCAGGUGUGAAAUCCAAUGGCUCAACCAUUGAACUGCACUUGAAACUGCUGACCUAGAGUACUGAAGGGGCAGAUGGAAUUAGUGGUGUAGGGGUAAAAUCCGUAGAUAUCACUAGGAAUACCGAAAGCGAAGGCGAUCUGCUGGGAAGUUACUGACGCUGAGGCGUGAAAGCGUGGGGAGCAAACAGGAUUAGAUACCCUAGUAGUC
rnacentral:rRNA from 1 species